rnacentral:rRNA from 1 species
GACGAACGCUGGCGGCGUGCUUAACACAUGCAAGUCGAACGGAAAGGCCUCUUUCGGGGGGUACUCGAGUGGCGAACGGGUGAGUAACACGUGAGUAACCUGCCCUUGACUUUGGGAUAACUUCAGGAAACUGGGGCUAAUACCGGAUAGGAGCUCCUGCUGCAUGGUGGGGGUUGGAAAGUUUUGGCGGUUGGGGAUGGACUCGCGGCUUAUCAGCUUGUUGGUGGGGUAGUGGCUUACCAAGGCUUUGACGGGUAGCCGGCCUGAGAGGGUGACCGGCCACAUUGGGACUGAGAGACGGCCCAGACUCCUACGGGAGGCAGCAGUGGGGAAUAUUGCACAAUGGGUGGAAGCCUGAUGCAGCAACGCCGUGUGCGGGAUGACGGCCUUCGGGUUGUAAACCGCUUUCGCUCAUGACGAAGCUUUGUGUGACGGUAGUGGGUAAAGAAGCACCGGCUAACUACGUG